AGAGUUGAUCCUGGCUCGGGAUGAACGCUAGCGGCAGGCUUAACACAUGCAAGUCGAGGGGCAGCGUGGGGUAGCAAUACUCUGACGGCGACCGGCGAAAGGGUGAGUAACGCGUGAGCAACAUGCCCGUAGUUGGGGGAUAGUCAUUGGAAACGAUGCGUAAUACCCCGUAACACAUUGCACCGCAUGAUGCGAUGUUGAUAGAUUUAUUGUCUACGGAUUGGCUCGCGUACCAUUAGCUAGUUGGCGGGGUAACGGCCCACCAAGGCGACGAUGGUUAGGGUUCUGAGAGGAAGGUCCCCCACAUUGGAACUGAGACACGGUCCAGACUCCUACGGGAGGCAGCAGUGAGGAAUAUUGGACAAUGGCCGGGAGGCUGAUCCAGCCAUGCCCGCGUGCGGGAAGACGGCCCUAUGGGUUGUAAACCGCUUUUGUCGGGGAGCAAUAAGGUCCACGUGUGGACCGAUGAGAGUACCCGGCGAAUAAGCAUCGGCUAACUCCGUGCCAGCCGCCGC
rnacentral:rRNA from 1 species